UGUGGAGUAGUUCAGUGGUAGAACGCAUGACUGUUAAUCAUGAUGUCGCUGGUUCGAAUCCAGCCUCCACAG
rnacentral:tRNA from 1 species